GAAAAAAAAGCGCGUUGCUUCUCGCUGGUACCUUCACGCGCAUUGGCAUCCCACCGUCCAUCCCCACUUGCCCCGGAGCGAUCAUAGCCGUCGCUUACCCACUAGUAUUUCCUGCCGCCACGUAGCACUUGAACACGUGUCGCUAAAUUGACGGUAAAUCUGUUGAUUAUUUUAACGUUAUCCUUUGUCGAUCUCUAUAAAUGCAGC
rnacentral:misc_RNA from 1 species